AUUGAACGCUGGCGGCAUGCCUUACACAUGCAAGUCGAACGGUAACAGGUUAAGCUGACGAGUGGCGAACGGGUGAGUAAUGUAUCGGAACGUGCCCAGUCGUGGGGGAUAACUGCUCGAAAGAGCGGCUAAUACCGCAUACGACCUGAGGGUGAAAGCGGGGGAUCGCAAGACCUCGCGCGAUUGGAGCGGCCGAUAUCAGAUUAGGUAGUUGGUGAGGUAAAGGCUCACCAAGCCGACGAUCUGUAGCUGGUCUGAGAGGACGACCAGCCACACUGGGACUGAGACACGGCCCAGACUCCUACGGGAGGCAGCAGGGGGGAAUUUUGGACAAUGGGCGCAAGCCUGAUCCAGCCAUGCCGCGUGCGGGAAGAAGGCCUUCGGGUUGUAAACCGCUUUUGUCAGGGAAGAAAAGGUUCUGGCUAAUACCUGGGACUCAUGACGGUACCUGAAGAAUAAGCACCGGCUAACUACGUG
rnacentral:rRNA from 1 species